rnacentral:rRNA from 1 species
UACGGGGGGGGCAAGCGUUGUUCGGAAUUACUGGGCGUAAAGGGCUUGUAGGUGGCCAACUAAGUCAGACGUGAAAUCCCUCGGCUUAACCGGGGAACUGCGUCUGAUACUGGAUGGCUUGAGUGUGGGAGAGGGAUGCUGAAUUCCAGGUGUAGCGGUGAAAUGCGUAGAUAUCUGGAGGAACACCGGUGGCGAAGGCGGCCUUCUGGACGGAUACUGACGCUGAGACGCGAAAGCGUGGGGAGCAAACAGG